rnacentral:piRNA from 1 species
UCUUAUUUCCUUUCUACUACGAUUGUGGA